rnacentral:ncRNA from 1 species
CACCUUGACUGCCUAGUUCCAUCAUGCUGUCUCAACAAGCUUAAGCCCUGCAUUUAAUAUGAACUAAUUCAGACUGUUGAACUGGCGAAUGCUAUUAAAUCCUUAUAGUUUGUUCUGGUACCGCUACUACUCGAUAACCGUAGUAAUCUAGCGCUAAACGUCAACAAACCCGACUUACUGGACUGGGAUUCAUUUAUUAAUAAAAUGUCGACGGCGGGCUUUGCACCGUGCUGCGAUGAUCCUGAUAACUCGAGCGGAUCGCAACGUGCCUAGGCGGCCGGCCGACGCAUCAUUUCCAAAUUUCUAGCCCUAUCAACUUCGAUGGUAGGAUAGUGGCCUACAUGGUGGUGACGGGUGACGGUAGAAUUGGGCUUCGAUUCCAGGAGCGGAGCCUGAGAAACGGCUCAGCCACAUCCAGGAGAGCAGCAGGGCGCGCACCCUUCCCCAAUCCUGACGGGGAGGUAGUGCCAAUAAAUAACAUCCGGCUCGACGCGUCUGUAAUUGGAAUGAGUACAAUCUAGAUCCUUAACCGAGGAUCCAUUGAGCGCAAGUCUGGUCCAGCACCCGUAAUUCCCGCCCAAGUAGCGUAUAUUUAAGUUGUUGCAGUUAAAAAGCCUCGUAGUUGGACUUUGGGAGGGCCGCCGUCCGCCCCACGGGUGUGCAACCGGUCGUCUCGUCCCUUUCUGCGCCCGAUGGCGCUCCCUGGCCUCUUAAUUGGCCGGGUCGUGCCUUCCGGGCGCUGUACUUUUGAAGAAUUAGAGUGCUCAAAGCAAGCCAUUACGCUUCUGUAUACAUUAGCAUGGGAUAACAUUAAUAAGAAUUUAGGCGCCUAAUUACGUUGGCCUCGGGAUCGGAGUCAUGAUUACAGGGACAGUCGAGGCAUUCGUAGUUUCAUAGUCAGAGGUGAAAUCUGAUAAGAAAGACAAACCACUGCGAAAGCAUUUGCCUACGCUGUUUUCAUUAAACACGAACGACAAAGUUGGGGCUCGCGAUCACUACUCUCCAGUCUCGAUCAACCAUAUAACGUGCGC